AUGACUUUGAUCUGCGUCCUCAUCUGGACUCUCCUCUGCUGCUGCUUCACAGAGUCCAGAGGCCAGGUCACAGUGACUCAGCCUGGAGCAAUGCGCUCUGCUCUGGGAGGCUCCGUCUCCAUCAGAUGUAGGACCAGUCAGGAUGUUCUUGUCUAUAACAACAACCACCUUUUAGCCUGGUACCAACAGAGAGAUGGAGAAACUCCUAAACUCCUCAUUUACUAUGCUAGCACUCGAGCAUCAGGGAUUCCAGGUCGUUUUACAGGCAGUGGAUCAAACUCUGACUUCACUCUGACCAUCAGUGGAGUCCAGACUGAAGAUGCAGCAGUUUACUACUGUCAGAGUGUUCAUAACAUCAACAGUCAGUGGUUGUUCACGUUCGGUGGAGGAACCAGACUGGAUGUUGGAAGUGAUGUCCGUCCCACCCUGACGGUGCUGCCCCCCUCCAGUGAGGAGCUGCAGCAGGGGAAGGCCACGCUCAUGUGCCUGGCCAACAAGGGCUUCCCCUCAGACUGGAGUCUGGCCUGGAAGGUGGACGGCAGCAGCAGCAGCAGCAGCUGGGAGGAGAGCAGGAGCCCCGGGGUGCUGGAGAAGGACGGCCGCUACAGCUGGAGCAGCACCCUGAGGCUCCCUGCAGACCAGUGGAGGAAGGUGGGCUCUGUGACCUGUGAGGCCACCCAGGGCUCCCAGGCUCUGGUCUCAGAGACACUGAGGAGAGACCAGUGUUCCCAGUCCUGACCUGACUCACUGGGACUCUGCUACUGGUUUUACUCUGCUCUCUGAACUCUGUAACUCUCUCUGUGUCUGUGUCUCUUUCUUUCCUUAAGUCAUUCUCUAAUCACAUGUUUCAUGGUUAAAGUUUCUUUACUGGAUUUAAUUUUGAUUAUUUCUACACAAUAAAGACCAGUUCAUCAAAUCAGUUGUUUUCAUUUCUGUUAUACUGAAAGUAACAGUGGGUAGAGGUCGCGCCCCAUGAACAAGGUUGACUCCUUACUGCAGCAGCCUGGGUUUGAAUCUCACCUGAUCAUCAUAGUUUCAGUAUCUGCAGUGUGAUUCUUCACAGAGUCAGUGAGCUGUAGCUGUCCUCAACAUAUCAUGGUGUUUCCCCCUCAGUGCUGAGAGCGUUGAUCUACAUAUUUACAUGAAGAGGAUACUAAAAAUCUGGUAAUAAACUGUUUCAGUGAUUUUGUUUUUCAUUCCAAUGUGGAAAAUUAGUUUAAUAUGGUCUGCUGACAAUGAAUAGUGACGUUAUUUUAAUGCGCAUUGACGACAGAUUUGGUUGUAUAUAAUAUCCAGAUUUUCUCAAAUAAAGAAAUGACAAGUCAAGAGCGGAGGCUGAAGCUGGUAUAUGGUAUACGUCUGUCUCCUUCUUUCCUUCUGUCACUCUCUAAUCACGUUUCAUGGAUAAAGUUUGUUUACUUGAUUGUUAUUUCUACACAAUAAAGACCAGUUCAUGA